rnacentral:rRNA from 1 species
GACGAACGCUGGCGGCGUGCUUAACACAUGCAAGUCGAACGGAAAGGCCCUGCUUUUGUGGGGUGCUCGAGUGGCGAACGGGUGAGUAACACGUGAGUAACCUGCCCUUGACUGUGGGAUAACUUCAGGAAACUGGGGCUAAUACCGGAUAGGAGCUCCUGCUGCAUGGUGGGGGUUGGAAAGUUUCGGCGGUUGGGGAUGGACUCGCGGCUUAUCAGCUUGUUGGUGGGGUAGUGGCUUACCAAGGCUUUGACGGGUAGCCGGCCUGAGAGGGUGACCGGCCACAUUGGGACUGAGAUACGGACCAGACUCGUACGGGAGGCAGCAGUGGGGAAUAUUGCACAGUGGGCGGAAGCCUGAUGCAGCAACGCCGCGUGCGUGAUGACGGCCUUCGGGUUGUAAACCGCUUUCGCCUGUGACGAAGCGUGAGUGACGGUAAUGGGUAAAGAAGCACCGGCUAACUACGUG